UGCGAGCAAGGUUCUGAGUUCUAU
rnacentral:misc_RNA from 1 species